GAUGAACGCUGGCGGCGUGCCUAAUACAUGCAAGUCGAGCGAACGGACGAGAAGCUUGCUUCUCUGAUGUUAGCGGCGGACGGGUGAGUAACACGUGGAUAACCUACCUAUCAGACUGGGAUAACUUCGGGAAACCGGAGCUAAUACCGGAUAAUAUUUUGAACCGCAUGGUUCAAAAGUGAAAUACGCUCUUGCUGUCACUUAUAGAUGGAUCCGCGCUGCAUUAGCUAGUUGGUAAGGUAACGGCUUACCAAGGCAACGAUGCAUAGCCGACCUGAGAGAGUGAUCGGCCAGCCUGGAACUGAGACACGGUCCCGACUCCUACAGGAAGCCGCAGUAGGGAAUCUUACGCAAUGGGCGAGAGCCUGACGGAGCAACGCCGCGUGAGUGAUGAAGGUCUUCUGAUCGUAAAACUCUGUUAUUAGGGAAGAACACAUGUGUAAGUAACUGUGCAGAUAGUGACAGUACCUAAUCAGAAAGCCACGGCUAACUACGUG
rnacentral:rRNA from 1 species